rnacentral:misc_RNA from 1 species
AAAAAAAAAAAGAUGAUACAUGUAUGCAUUGGCGGAAAAUCAAUUUCAUUAAGCCCUCAAUAUGUUUUGCAUAUGGAAACACACAUGCACCUUGUCUGUUUUCUUUUAAUGUAUGUAUGAUGCAGCACAACCAGCAGGUUUAGUUAAACUGAAAGCUAGGAAGGGUAGAUUCUCCAUUAGCAAACUGGAGGCUUAAUUUAGGUUGCUAAAUCUGCAAUUAUUUGCAGAAUU